GAUGAACGCUGGCGGCGUGCCUAAUACAUGCAAGUCGAGCGAACGGACGAGAAGCUUGCUUCUCUGAUGUUAGCGGCGGACGGGUGAGUAACACGUGGAUAACCUACCUAUAAGACUGGGAUAACUUCGGGAAACCGGAGCUAAUACCGGAUAAUAUUUUGAACCGCAUGGUUCAAAAGUGAAAGACGGUCUUGCUGUCACUUAUAGAUGGAUCCGCGCUGCAUUAGCUAGUUGGUAAGGUAACGGCUUGCCAAGGCAACGAUGCAUAGCCGACCUGAGAGGGUGAUCGGCCACACUGGAACUGAGACACGGUCCAGACUCCUACGGGAGGCAGCAGUAGGGAAUCUUCCGCAAUGGGCGAAAGCCUGACGGAGCAACGCCGCGUGAGUGAUGAAGGUCUUCGGAUCGUAAAACUCUGUUAUUAGGGAAGAACAUAUGUGUAAGUAGCUGUGCACAUCUUGACGGUACCUAAUCAGAAAGCCACGGCUAACUACGUG
rnacentral:rRNA from 1 species